UACGAAGGGGGCUAGCGUUGUUCGGAAUUACUGGGCGUAAAGCGCGCGUAGGCGGGCAUCUAAGUCAGGGGUGAAAUGCCAGGGCUCAACCUUGGAAUUGCCUUUGAUACUGGAUGUCUGGAGUUCGGGAGAGGUGAGUGGAAUUCCGAGUGUAGAGGUGAAAUUCGUAGAUAUUCGGAGGAACACCGGUGGCGAAGGCGGGACUCUGGGCCGAUACUGACGCUGAGGAGCGAAAGCGUGGGGAGCAAACAGG
rnacentral:rRNA from 1 species